rnacentral:rRNA from 1 species
AGCUCCAAUAGCGUAUAUUAAAGUUGUUGCAGUUAAAAAGCUCGUAGUUGGAUUUGGGACGUGGGUCGCACGGUCGGCCGCAAGGUCUGUUACUGUGCGGCCUCGUCAUUUACACUCUCGGAGACCCGUCGUGCACUUCGCUGUGCUGCGGCGUUGGGACUCGGGACGUUUACUUUGAAAAAAUUAGAGUGUUCAAAGCAGGCUCUCCCAGCCCGGAUACAUGAGCAUGGAAUAAUGGAAUAGGAUUGCGGUCCUAUUUUGUUGGUUUCUACGACCGCAGUAAUGAUUAAGAGGGACAAUUGGGGGCGUCCGUAUUUCGUUGUCAGAGGUGAAAUUCUUGGAUUUACGAAAGACGAACAACUGCGAAAGCAUUCGCCAAGAGUGUUUUCAUUAAUCAAGA